GAGAAAGACAAGAGAGGAAUCUUUCAUUCUUAGGCUCAGAUGUCGGGAUCUACGUGAGAGACGAACUGAAAAUUGACAACCCCCCCCCAGCAAAACCCAUUGAGCAAGACACGAAGGGAGCCCUUGCAGUUGUCUCUCUCCACACGCUCAGAGGUAAGACAAAUCACAACUUGCAUUUGCAAUGAUAACAUAAUAACAACAUUUGCAAAUAAAAAGAUCCCUAAUCUUAGUUACCUUAGUUACCAUUUUACCUGCAGACAAUAGAAGGGGGCAGACUUUGGGUGUUUCACUGCCUUGUUUUGCUUGUGCACUUGCACUAGAGGAGUGAGUCAGUAAAAGUGUCAGAGUCCCGUAACAGACGGCGUGCGCAAGAUAAUUAGCCUGCAGUCAUCUGGAAGCAGCGCAGCUCUGCCCAGGUGCCCACUGUGCACUGAAAGAGACCAGAUGACCUUUUACUCAGCUUCCCACUGCAGUCACUUAAAACAGUGAUGGAUGUUUCCCUUAACACCCUGCUCCCCACCAGCCCUCGUUCCCCCCUCUCCACCCUCCCUCUUUCUCAUCUCACCAUUUUCCCCUCCUUUCCUCGUCUCUGCGCCUCUUCACCACCACUCCUGCAUUAUU